rnacentral:rRNA from 1 species
CUAAAUCAUUAGUCUUUUAAUUUUAGACUGGUAUGAAUGGUUAGACUAGGUAAUUUUGUCUUGUAAUAAUAUUUCAAAUUUUAUAUUUUAGUAAAAAAGCUAAAAUUUUUUUUAGGGACGAGAAGACCCUGUCAAAACUUUACAAACUAGGUCAUUGUUCUUAAAAUGAUUAAAAUUUGUUUUACUGGGGCAGUAGGUAAUAAAAUUUUAUUUAUAUAUUGUGAUAAUAAGUUUUGUCAAAUCAGGAAAUUCCUAAAGAAAAAAUAAGUUACUGCAGGGAUAACAGCGUAAUUCUUUUUUAGAGUUCUUAUCAUCAUUAGAGUUUGCGAACCUCGAUGUUGGAUUAAAAUACCUAAUUCAUGCAAUAGGAGAAAAGGAAGUCUGUCGCUUA